UUCUUCUUGAAGGGAAUACGCAAGCUUGUGGACCGCUUGACCAAGUGCAUUGAAAAUGAAGGAUACUAUAUAGAAAAAUGGCGUACUUGUUUAUCCCCUGCUUUUGUGUAAAUACAUUGGAAAGGCAAGAGUGCGUUUUAUGGUUUACGU